rnacentral:rRNA from 1 species
CCUACGGGUGGCAGCAGUAGGGAAUCUUUCACAAUGGGCGAAAGCCUGAUGGAGCAACGCCGCGUGCAGGAUGAAGGCCUUCGGGUUGUAAACUGCUUUUAUAAGCGAGAAAUAUGAUGGUAACUUAUGAAUAAGUAUCGGCGAACUACGUGCCAGCAGCCGCGGUCAUACGUAGGAUCCGAGCAUUAUCCGGAGUGACUGGGUGUAAAGAGUUGCGUAGGUGGCAUAAUAAGUAGCUAGUGAAAUCUGGUGGCUCAACCAUUCAGACUAUUAGCUAAACUGUUAAGCUCGAGACCGUUAGGGGUAACUGGAAUUUCUAGUGUAGGAGUGAAAUCCGUAGAUAUUAGAAGGAACACCAAUAGCGUAGGCAGGUUGCUGGGACGGUUCUGACACUAAGGCACGAAAGCGUAGGGAGCAAACGGGAUUAGAUACCCCAGUAGUC